rnacentral:rRNA from 1 species
UACGAAGGGGGCUAGCGUUGCUCGGAAUCACUGGGCGUAAAGGGUGCGUAGGCGGGUCUUUAAGUCAGGGGUGAAAUCCUGGAGCUCAACUCCAGAACUGCCUUUGAUACUGAAGAUCUUGAGUUCGGGAGAGGUGAGUGGAACUGCGAGUGUAGAGGUGAAAUUCGUAGAUAUUCGCAAGAACACCAGUGGCGAAGGCGGCUCACUGGCCCGAUACUGACGCUGAGGCACGAAAACGUGGGGAGCAAACGAGG